GAUGAACGCUGGCGGCGUGCCUAAUACAUGCAAGUCGAGCGAACAGACGAGGAGCUUGCUCCUCUGACGUUAGCGGCGGACGGGUGAGUAACACGUGGAUAACCUACCUAUAAGACUGGGAUAACUUCGGGAAACCGGAGCUAAUACCGGAUAAUAUAUUGAACCGCAUGGUUCAAUAGUGAAAGACGGUUUUGCUGUCACUUAUAGAUGGAUCCGCGCCGCAUUAGCUAGUUGGUAAGUUAACGGCUUACCAAGGCGACGAUGCGUAGCCGACCUGAGAGGGUGAUCGGCCACACUGGAACUGAGACACGGUCCAGACUCCUACGGGAGGCAGCAGUAGGGAAUCUUCCGCAAUGGGCGAAAGCCUGACGGAGCAACGCCGCGUGAGUGAUGAAGGUCUUCGGAUCGUAAAACUCUGUUAUUAGGGAAGAACAAAUGUGUAAGUAACUAUGCACGUCUUGACGGUACCUAAUCAGAAAGCCACGGCUAACUACGUG
rnacentral:rRNA from 1 species